GGGAUUGUGGCUCAGCAGUAGAGUGCUCACCUAGGAUGGGUGAGACCUGGGUUCGAUUCCCAGCACCA
rnacentral:tRNA from 1 species